ensembl:lncRNA
CAGAAUCAGGAGGGGGGGAAAAAUGGUAAUCCGGAAUCCUCGAACCAGGAUUUUGGAAAAACCUUCUUGGGGAAAUUACCAGACUUUUGAAACCCUACCUGUGUGUCUCAUGUAGAAGGGCUCUCCUUAGUCCUGUGUCUCAUGUAGAAGGGCUCUUCUCAGUCCUGUGUCUCAUGUAGAAGGGCUCUUCUCAGUUCUGUGUCUCAUGUAGAAGGGCUCUUCUCAGUUCUGUGUGUCAUUAUAGAAGUACUCAGCCUAUCUGUUUAAUGCAGUGGACCCAUACACUACAGUUAGACACCUGCCUGGUCUCUGCUCCACCUACUGCUGAGUACCUUUCCAAAUAUCACUCCAUGGUCAAAUCCCUGACAGACAGCACCGCCCUGCAGGACACCCAGUGAGAAGGACAGCUCUAGGUUCUCCACCCUGGUCAACCUGUCUGACCAGAACUACUGUUACUCCAACGUUCUGAAGAGCACAGACCUCAACACAAACCUGGGCAAGGUUUAGUAAAAGACAACUUAUAGUUAAAGACAACUUUUAGAUUUUUUUAAAUAUAUUGUUCUAAUUGUAAAGUAAUUGUAAUCCACUAAUCCGCUAUGAACCUGUCUAAUCACCACUCAGAGGGUAACAGGAUAGAGCAAGGGGUAUUCAGCUCUUACUCUACGAGGUUCGGACUACUGCUGAUUCUGUUCUACCUGAUCCUUAAUAUCAACCCCACCUGGUGUCCCAGGUCUAAAUCAGGCCCUGAUCCUUAAUAUCAACCCCACCUGGUGUCCCAGGUCUAAAUCAGGCCCUGAUCCUUAAUAUCAACCCCACCUGGUGUCCCAGGUCUAAAUCAGCCCCUGGUCCUUAAUAUCAACCCCACCUGGUGUCCCAGGUUUAAAUCAGGCCCGAUCCUUAACAUCACCCCACCUGGUGUCCCAGGUCUAAAUCAGCCCCUGAUCCUUAAUAUCACCCCACCUGGUGUCCCAGGUCUAAAUCAGCCCCUGAUCCUUAAUAUCAACCCCACCUGGUGUCCCAGGUCUAAAUCAGCCCCUGAUCCUUAAUAUCAACCCCACCUGGUGUCCCAGGUUUAAAUCAGGCCUCGAUCCUUAACAUCACCCCACCUGGUGUCCCAGGUCUAAAUCAGGCCCUGAUCCUUCAUAUCACCCCACCUGGUGUCCCAGGUAUAAAUCAGGCCCUGAUCAUUAAUAUCAACCCCACCUGGUGUCCCAGGUCUAAAUCAGGCCCUGAUUAGAGUUGAGGAUGAAAAAAAGAGGUGGAACUGGCUCGGUGGUCCAGAUUUGGCGGUGUUUAUUAACCCUUAGGUCCUGGGGAUGGCUUGAUGAGGAGCUGAUUAGUCGAUUCAGGAGUGUAGUGAUAAGGCAAACACAACAAUGUGCCCCCUUUGUGUGGCCCUAGGACCAGGAUUAAGAAACACGACUCUGGGACUUUCUGUUGGUGUCCCCAGUACCAGGAUUAAGAAACACGACUCUGGGCCUUUCUGUUGGUGUCCCCAGUACCAGGAUUAAGAAACACGACUCUGGGCAUUUCUGUUUUCACUUCACUUAGUAAAUACAUGAAAGCGCCACAAGGUGGUAGCAGAGGAUAAGGAAUGACUGACUGUUCAGCUGUUUCAUUAUUUGUUGACUACUGCGUUGGGACUUUGGGGAUUGGAUUGAGAGACACAGGAAAUCCUGCCGGGUGAAGUGUACCAAUCCACGGGUGUAAACUACAUCAGCCUCUGGCCCUGACUACUGUCAGACCUCCACCUCCUUGACCUGCCUCUGACCCUGACCCUGACAGACCUCCACCUCCUUGACCUGCC